CUUCAAGGUGCUGCAUGGUUGUCGUCAGCUCGUGCCGUGAGGUGUCGGGUUAAGUCCCAUAACGAGCGCAACCCUUACUGUUAGUUGCCAGCGGGUCAAGCCGGGAACUCUAACGGGACUGCCACCGUAAGGUGAGAGGAAGGUGGGGAUGACGUCAAAUCAGCACGGCCCUUACGUCCAGGGCUACACACGUGUUACAAUGGUCGGUACAAAGGGCAGCUACACCGCGAGGUGAUGCUAAUCUCUAAAGCCGGUCUCAGUUCGGAUCGAAGUCUGCAACCCGACUUCGUGAAGUUGGAUUCGCUAGUAAUCGCGCAUCAGCCAUGGCGCGGUGAAUACGUUCCCGGGCCUU
rnacentral:rRNA from 1 species